rnacentral:rRNA from 1 species
UGGGGAAUAUUGGACAAUGGGCGAAAGCCUGAUCCAGCAAUGCCGCGUGAGUGAUGAAGGCCUUAGGGUUGUAAAGCUCUUUUACCCGGGAUGAUAAUGACAGUACCGGGAGAAUAAGCCCCGGCUAACUCCGUGCCAGCAGCCGCGGUAAUACGGAGGGGGCUAGCGUUAUUCGGAAUUACUGGGCGUAAAGCGUACGUAGGCGGCUUUGUAAGUUAGAGGUGAAAGCCUGGAGCUCAACUCCAGAACUGCCUUUAAGACUGCAUCGCUUGAAUCCAGGAGAGGUGAGUGGAAUUCCGAGUGUAGAGGUGAAAUUCGUAGAUAUUCGGAAGAACACCAGUGGCGAAGGCGGCUCACUGGACUGGUAUUGACGCUGAGGUGCGAAAGCGUGGGGAGCAAACA